rnacentral:lncRNA from 1 species
AUGUUUUGGCGCCCAUACCGGACGGGGUAUGGGGACGGCCCGUUUCACCCUCAUACCGGACGGGGUAAUGAGGUCUAUGGUUUGGCGCCCAUACCGGACGGGGUAUGGGGACGGCCCUGGAGUGGAUUUCAAGUGUUAAGGAUUAACGGAUAGCGGGACCCCUAUGGAUCCCCAUGGAUACUAGUGGGCUGGUGAAUUAGGAAAAUAUGUUGUGUAACGAUUGAAUU